AGCGAACGCUGGCGGCAGGCCUAACACAUGCAAGUCGAACGGAUCCUUCGGGAUUAGUGGCGGACGGGUGAGUAACACGUGGGAACGUGCCCUCUGGUUCGGAACAACUCAGGGAAACUUGAGCUAAUACCGGAUGUGCCCUUCGGGGGAAAGAUUUAUCGCCAUUGGAGCGGCCCGCGUCUGAUUAGCUAGUUGGUGAGGUAAAGGCUCACCAAGGCGACGAUCAGUAGCUGGUCUGAGAGGACGAUCAGCCACAUUGGGACUGAGACACGGCCCAAACUCCUACGGGAGGCAGCAGUGGGGAAUCUUGCGCAAUGGGCGAAAGCCUGACGCAGCCAUGCCGCGUGAAUGAUGAAGGUCUUAGGAUUGUAAAAUUCUUUCACCGGGGACGAUAAUGACGGUACCCGGAGAAGAAGCCCCGGCUAACUUCGUGCCAGCAGCCGCGGUAAUAC
rnacentral:rRNA from 1 species